CUGUAGAUGGCCACGAGCCUCCUCUAAUACCAAAUAAUGAGGUCCUACAGCUUCUUACAGGAGCUAACGAAGGAGAACAGCAGCCUGCACAAGCUAAUGAACCUCCCCAGCCAAUUCCACAGGUAUCUCAGAGAGAUGAUAAGCAAGAGCAAUGCUGUAUAUGCAUGAGUGGUUAUAACCCUGAGGAGGACAUCAUGCAGCUGCAAUGUAACCACAUAUUCC